UUGUGCGCUGUUCCCUUUGAUUGUCUCGCAGUUACGUGUCGUUUUGCUUCCAUUUGUUUUGAAGCAUUUGUAGUUUUGCGGUGUCAUUUUAUGCCUCCCCUCCCCGGCGGUUCGGCAUCCCUCCCGAGCUGACGGCGCCUCUCCGGGUCGCUUGAGCUCCGCUGCAGCGGGUGCUCGGGGACGGGCAAGGCCGUGGGGCUGGAGGGACAAUUUCCAGUGAAACCUGGGGACUAGGAGGAAGAUGUGCUGCCGGGUCUGCUACUCUGGGCAGCGACUGUGUGGUUGUCACGCUGCUUAGGUUGUCUUAAAGGGUUGUCUUUGUCACCUGAGAGUCUCCUGUGAAUCAGGUAUCAGCUCAGCAAAGUCACCUGGAAAAGGCUACACCAGCACCGUUUUGUCCUGCAUGUAUAGAAUAUUGUCGAGCUAAAAUCUGGCAACCCACAAAGAAAUAUUUAGGUUUCUUUUAGGGCUAUUGAGCCUUUUAUUUUGGAACACUUUAUAACAAAAGCUUGGUUGCUUUUGUCUUUUCCUUCCACCAGUUGCCACCUCUUCGCUUAUUAAAGAUAAGAGAGAAUGAGACAUCUGCCACCUCCAUUGGAAUAGGUUGAAUACUUAAAAAUAUUCCUUAUACCACUCAGAACACUCAGAAGUGGAUGGGGCCGGGAGCAGAGGGGAAGGCAGGAUGCUGAUAAGGUUUCAUUUGGCAGCUGCUCAGCCUCCUGGACACUUCCACCUGUUUUCUGUCCUGCAUCAGGGGCAUCAAGAGCAGUGCAGUAAUGAGUGCUGCUAAUAAUACACAGCUAUGUGAAGAGAGAGGUGCUGAGGGCCAUCGAAGUAUCCGGAGUAUCCAUCCAAGUACUCGAGGGCCAUCUCAAGGGGUUGGAAAUGUCAGCCUGCAGGCACUCCUUGACCAGGUAGCUUCUGAGCCUGACAUACUUCAGCUCCCACUUCCUCUGAAUGUGUGUAAAUUCACAGAGGAGGCCAGGGGCUGGCAGAGGAAUUUCAAUCCUCACCUUUCCUGUGCACAGCAAGCACAACAUUCAGACGAUCAUUCGGAGGCCUCUUUGUAGCUCUGGCUCAGGGUUCCAGAGGACACCUCUGUGCCUGUGCCCCUUCACAUCUAAAUCCGAGGUUGUCUAAACCUUCUGUCGGUGGCGCAGCAGCACGAUGGAUUUGAGCAGAUCUAGAUAGACUGCCUAGACUGAGCUGGGAGCAGCUCUUGUCUCCGGCAAACCACAGUGAACCUGCACAUUCGGAAGGUAUUUAAUUCGUCGUCAGCCUCGGGGAGGGAUGCUGAGGUCCCAGCUUGGUGUGCCGGCAGGAGCGCUGCAGCCCGGCGCCGGCAGUGAGGAGCUGUCUGCAUCUUUUUUCCACUUAGAAUCGGGCUCCAUCUAGUGAUCCUCUCCCAGAGGAGGCUUUUUGUGCCGGCUGAGCAGCCAUUUGUAUCUGCGGCUCAGGGAAGCCCCGCUCAGAGCUGUGCAGAGCAAACAUCCCCGCAGAAUCUCCCAGCACUGGUUUUCCAGCCGCACUCACCGGACCCGAGCCGCUCUGCUCACGGUGCUGCAGGACCCGGGGAGAUGAGCAUUGUCUCGAAAUAGCUGAGGAUGUGCACAUAAAUGAAAGGAGCUUGAAUUUGCACUAGAAACUUCUUUAGGAGAUCAUAUUAAAAAAAAUAAUAAUAAAAAAAAUCAGGCUAAUCCCUGGGCUGUUUUAACUGAGAAAUCAGUGAUCUGGUUGAAGUCAGGAGCACUCAGCAGUGUGAACGUUGUGUUCACUGGCACUCCUCGGGCACAGGGCAAUGCCCCAAGAGGGGAAGAGCACACUGUGCCCGAGGAGUGCCAGUGUCCCAAGCCCUGCAAUCAAUAUAAAUUGCAGCCAUUCACACUAAUUAGUUGUUUAAACACAGUUUAUAUUCAUAUAAACGGUUUUCCGGAGUACUGUCUUGAAUAAUAAAGACAUUACAGAGGCAGUAGAAACAGUAUUGAGUGAUAUAAUUGAAUGCUAGGCUUCAGUUAUGAAAGGUAUCAAAGAAAGCUCAAAGCUCGCAAUAAAGUCAGGGAAGAAAAUCCAGAGUGAGGCAGUUAGUCCCUCACGAAAGUUCACUGACACAAGAGCACCAUCUGCUGCUAAAUGUGUGCUUGGGAAAACCGGUGGCCAGAGUCCCUUCCCACUGCGGGUGUUACACAGCUUCUGCUGGGCAUUUGGACAUUCCUGUGAUCUUGUAGAGUUGGUGUAAAUGAAAAGUGUCAUCCAGAAUCGAAACUCUUGAGAGGCGUCUGUGUGCUCGGGGACUGCAUCUACCUUAACCAGUAGCUUGAAAGACUGAAAAUAAGUCACCCUUUGGUUGCUGCCUGGCCCUUACCCUGAGGAACGCUCUGAGUGACCCAGCAUUACCAAUAACAAGCAACUGUUCUUUGUUUAGAGGGGCCAGCUCGUUAUUCGAGUAGGACACACCAAUUUCUGUAAUUAACAACAGGUGGUUCAUUUAAUGUUGUGGUUUUGAUUUCCCAACCUUGUGAGUAACAAUGAAGGAGUCUCCAGGGUGUGGGAUGUGCCAUGGAUACAGGGACAUCUGAGCUGGCUCCAUGAGAAGUGGGAUGUGCAGAAAGGAAUGGGUUUCAUUUCAACCUGUGAAAAAAUAACCUGGGUUAUUAUAAGGAGCUCAGCAUAUUUGUUGUCCCAAGGCUUGUGGCACAUGGUGACCUAGAAGUCACACCAAGGCAGUAUGGCAUCUGUUAGGAGUUUUGCUGCUUGAUUUGAAUGCUGCAAAAAUUGUAUUCCUGAGUGGUCUGGAAGGCCACCCCACAACUACGAGGCAAUGCUGUCAUACCCAUUAGUUCAUUAGUUGCAGGAUGUUUCAAUGAAAGAGAUUAAUUUCUUCUGCUCUACUGCAGCAUAAAAUGAAGCACCAUCUCCUGUAGACAGAUUAGAAAGGUUUUUAUGAUUUUGAUUUAUGAUUCUUCUGUUAAAAAAAAAAAAAAAAAAAAAAAA